AGAGUUUGAUCCUGGCUCAGAACGAACGCUGGCGGCAGGCCUAACACAUGCAAGUCGAGCGCGCCUUCGGGUGAGCGGCGGACGGGUUAGUAACGCGUGGGAACGUGCCCUUUUCUACGGAAUAGCCUCUAGAAACGGAGAGUAAUACCGUAUACGCCCUUUGGGGGAAAGAUUUAUCGGAGAAGGAUCGGCCCGCGUUAGAUUAGGUAGUUGGUGGGGUAACGGCCUACCAAGCCUACGAUCUAUAGCUGGUUUUAGAGGAUGAUCAGCAACACUGGGACUGAGACACGGCCCAGACUCCUACGGGAGGCAGCAGUGGGGAAUCUUAGACAAUGGGGGCAACCCUGAUCUAGCCAUGCCGCGUGAGUGAUGAAGGCCUUAGGGUCGUAAAGCUCUUUCGCCUGUGAUGAUAAUGACAGUAGCAGGUAAAGAAACCCCGGCUAACUCCGUGCCAGCAGCCGCGGUAAUACGGAGGGGGUUAGCGUUGUUCGGAAUUACUGGGCGUAAAGCGCGCGUAGGCGGAUUAGAAAGUUGGGGGUGAAAUCCCGAGGCUCAACCUCGGAACUGCCUCCAAAACUGCUAGUCUAGAGUUCGAGAGAGGUGAGUGGAAUUCCGAGUGUAGAGGUGAAAUUCGUAGAUAUUCGGAGGAACACCAGUGGCGAAGGCGGCUCACUGGCUCGAUACUGACGCUGAGGUGCGAAAGUGUGGGGAGCAAACAGGAUUAGAUACCCUGGUAGUCCACACCGUAAACGAUGAAUGCCAGUCGUCGGAUAGUAUACUAUUCGGUGACACACCUAACGGAUUAAGCAUUCCGCCUGGGGAGUACGGUCGCAAGAUUAAAACUCAAAGGAAUUGACGG
rnacentral:rRNA from 1 species